rnacentral:rRNA from 1 species
GACAGAGGGUGCAAACGUUGCUCGGAAUUACUGGGCGUAAAGGGCGUGUAGGCGGGAAGGCAAGUCGGGCGUGAAAGCCCCAGGCUCAACCUGGGAACUGCACUCGAAACUGCCUUCCUUGAGUGCCGGAGAGGAAAGCGGAAUUCCUGGUGUAGAGGUGAAAUUCGUAGAUAUCAGGAGGAACACCAGUGGCGAAGGCGGCUUUCUGGACGGUAACUGACGCUGAGACGCGAAAGCGUGGGAAGCAAACAGG